rnacentral:tRNA from 1 species
GCCGAAAUAGCUCAGCUGGAAGAGCGUUAGACUGAAGAUCUAAAGGUCCUUGGUUCUAUUCCGAGUUUCGGCA